AGAAAAGAACAACAUCGGGAGAGUGUUGAGUUGCAGCAGCGGAGAGAUCAUUUAGAAUCGCUCGCGCGCGGCCAUGCGAUGUUACAGUUCGGUAUGGGUCUGAAAAGAUCUUUGUUCGGAGCGCGAGGAAGUGGGUCCGCGCGGGCGCGCGCGCGCGCGUGCGUGCGGGAGAGCGCGAGCGCGCUGCCGGAAGUCGGACCGUACAUCAUAAUGCCUCUUGGGUGCGCCGCCGCCGCGUUUCGCUCGUCGGCUAUUUCUCGCUUCACUGGCAAAUGAAAACAAUACAUAUGGCGAUCUCUCGUAUUCGCGAUUUUAAUUCGCCGAUCUGCUAAAAAAAAUCGCCGCGCUUUUAAUAUUUCGAAUCGCUCGAUACACCGCUUGUUUUCGCGGGACCGAAGUCGUACGGUCUCGCAGUCUUGCAUUUUCGCUGACAGUUUUCCGUGGAUCGACGAAAAUUCGACAAAAACACUGCUCUUCUGCGAUCCAGCACGGUUUGUAGACGCGAUUUCUACCUUACCGACGGAUGAUAUGUCAGUUCGCUGUAUCAGUUGGUACUCGUGAAAAGGAUAUUAUCACUUGUCGGACACAGACUUGAAUUAUCUUUUGUCGAUGUCCGGAAUGUUUUAUCUUACCCAUCGUAGAUUCGAGUAAGUCUCAAUUCGAUAGUUUCUCAAGUGAAAGUUUACUGUUAGCCGCACGCCAUGUAGACUGACUAUAACAGGAUGUUGAGUGAUAGAUUAGAGCCUUUCACUUUUGGAUGACACAAGCUUCUCUUGACGAUCUCCGCGAUGACAAGACCGGAAAAACCUUCCUCGUUGUGCCUUACGAUUCCGAGGCGGAGCUGAAAAAUAUAUUUACACAGUUGACAAUGUUUUCAUUAUGUAAUAUGACAGAAAGUAUCAAUCAAAAUUUGCAAGAAUACUCAUUGUUUUAAAAAUUAUAGCGAGUAAUGUGCUUCCCUGAUUCUGGGACACUGCCAACAAUUUACAUAAUAGUCUGUUGUCAACCAAGCGUAAAGAUAUAGAGUCUGUGAAGGCAAAGAAUUAUUGUAAAAUUUAAAAAAAUUUAGACAACUUUAAAGUAUAAUACUGUAUAAUACUGUACAUUGAAAAAAGAAACAUGAAUGAAAUUAAGGAUAACACAGUACGAGUGGUGUUUGUAUCCUUGCUACUGGAUCUCCUAGCAUUUACAAUGAUACUGCCACUGCUGCCAGCUAUAUUGGAUCAUUACAAAGAGAUAGAAAAGGGACAUGGAUUGUACUCCACUAUUUUAAAUCACAUGAAGAGCAUACAAAUGUUCUUUGAUGCACCAGAUAAAGUUAGCACCGUUCUUUAUGGAGGUUUCCUAGGCUCUAUGUAUUCCUUCCUACAAUUCUUAGGAUCACCAAUCAUAGGAGCCUUGUCAGAUAUUUAUGGACGAAAACCUUUGAUGUUACUUUGUUUGAUGGGCAUCUCACUCUCUUACCUUUUAUGGGCUUUGUCUACAAAUUUUGGUAUAUUUGUAUUAGCUAGAUUUGUAGGUGGUAUCAGUAAAGGAAACAUUAGUCUGUCAAUGGCUAUUAUAAGUGACGUUACGUCUUCAAACACCAGAGGAAAAGCAAUGGCACUUGUGGGGAUAGCCUUUUCCAUCGGUUUUGUUGUAGGACCAAUGAUAGGGGCGUUUUUUGCAUGGAUUUCUAGUGGUAAUAGAGAAGGCACGUGGUAUGCAAUACCAGCUUUAUUUGCACUCUUCCUUUCCUUAAGUGACUUAUUUUUUGUUGCUUACUACCUGGAAGAGAGUCUACCAUUGAAACACAGAGCGACUACUUUAGCAAAAGGAUUAUCCGGAGCAAUUUCCUACAUCAAUCCUGUGGAUCUCUUCCAAUUUAAUGGAGUAUUGAACUUGAGUCAGCAAGACCAACAAGAUUUGAAGAUAUUGGGUCGAACAUAUUUCAUAUACCUCUUUAUAUACAGCGGUUUGGAGUUCACUUUGACUUUUUUGACGCAUCAUACAUUCGGAUUUACUAGUAUGCAGCAGGGUUGGAUGUUUCUUGGGAUUGGACUGAUCAUGGCAAUUUUACAAGGCGGUUGGGUGCGACAUAUACCUCCGAACAAAACAAAAACCAUCAGCGAACUGCUAGCAGCGUACAGAUGUUGUGCAUCGGGAUUUUUCUUUUCGCAGUUUCCACCGCAAUGGUUGUCACCUGUAUGAUGACUCUGGUGACGCGUAUAGGGCCUGAACAUCAGAAGGGUACAAUCACUGGCAUAUUUCGUUCUCUAGGUGCAUUGGCUCGCGCUUGUGGACCUAUCGUCGCCUCUUUAGCAUUUUGGUGCAUUGGGAGUGCUACAACGUAUUUAACUGGGGCUUUACUACUUACGCUACCACCGUUGAUUUUGCACAGCAUGCAUACCUUGUAGUAUUUGACAUAGUUACAAACGUUGCCGUCCUCCGCCUUUUUCUUAAUCUUAAAGGAUACUUUAUAAACAGUAUUUUUAUAUAUCCUUUUUAUAUCCUUUUUAUAUAUUAUACAGUUUUAUAGUGAUUUUUUAAAGAAAUAAUUCAAUAUUCUAUAUAUUACAUUUGAUACUUUAGAUAACUUUAUAGAUUUUUAGAUUUCUUUACAUAUAUAUGAUGAUAUAAAAAUAAUUUUCACAUUAAUUCUAUUACCAGAUAUAUCAAAUCUAUGAAGAUCUAUCUCGGCAUUAUUAGACAUCACACUUGUUAUUUAUAUUUAGCUUCCUACAUACGCUUAAAAGCCUGUGGAUCAACUAGCAAAUAUAUCUAUGUGUACUUACACACAUACAUAAGAAAAUUUUAUAUUUAUAUAUAUUUAUAUAAAUUACAUAUACAUAAAUUGUGAUAUAUAUAUAGCAAAAAAUGUUACAUAAAAAUAUAUAUACAUUUAUAUGAGCAUUGUAUAUAUAUAAUUUUAUCUACGAUUGUAACAGUUUGCAAUUAUUCUAAUAUUUCAAUAAAUUGAUAACAUCUUCAAAUUACAUAUUUUUAAAAUUAAGAGUGUAUUAUUCAUACAGUUCCUGCAAAGUAAUGAAAAUUAAAAAUAUGUAAUAUUUGUACCUUAAAAUAAGUUGUAAUGUCAAUAUUACAUUUUUAUUUAAUAACACAUUUUUAUAUUUUUUAUUUGUUAUUAAAAAUUAAAUCGGUGUAAAAAAUAAUACAGUAUCAAUUUGUGUGUGUAUGUUUAACAGGUACUUCAAGUAUUCAGAAUUUAUAGUUUCGUUUUGAUUUUGAUUAUAAUUUUGUAAAUAAAUAAAUAAGAAAAACUAAUC
rnacentral:misc_RNA from 1 species